rnacentral:rRNA from 1 species
AACGAACGCUGGCGGCAUGCCUAACACAUGCCAGUCGAACGAGAUCUUCGGGUCUAGUGGCGCACGGGUGCGUAACGCGUGGGAAUCUGCCCUCAGGUUCGGAAUAACCAUUGGAAACGAUGGCUAAUACCGGAUGAUGACGUUAAGUCCAAAGAUUUAUCGCCUGAGGAUGAGCCCGCGUAGGAUUAGCUAGUUGGUGUGGUAAAGGCGCACCAAGGCGACGAUCCUUAGCUGGUCUGGGAGGAUGAUCAGCCACACUGGGACUGAGACACGGCCCAGACUCCUACGGGAGGCAGCAGUGGGGAAUAUUGGACAAUGGGCGAAAGCCUGAUCCAGCAAUGCCGCGUGAGUGAUGAAGGCCUUAGGGUUGUAAAGCUCUUUUACCCGGGAUGAUAAUGACAGUACCGGGAGAAUAAGCUCCGGCUAACUCCGUG